AGAGUUUGAUCCUGGCUCAGGAUGAACGCUGGCGGUCUGCUUAACACAUGCAAGUCGAACGCAACCUUCGGGUUGAGUGGCGGACGGGUGAGUAACGCGUGAGAAUCUGCCUUGGGGUCGGGGACAACCACUGGAAACGGUGGCUAAUACCGGAUAAGCCAAUUGGUAAAAGAUUUAUUGCCCGAAGAGGAGCUCGCGUCUGAUUAGCUAGUUGGUGAGGUAAGAGCUCACCAAGGCAGCGAUCAGUAGCUGGUCUGAGAGGACGAUCAGCCACACUGGGACUGAGACACGGCCCAGACUCCUACGGGAGGCAGCAGUGGGGAAUUUUCCGCAAUGGGCGAAAGCCUGACGGAGCAAGACCGCGUGAGGGAGGAAGGCUCUUGGGUUGUAAACCUCUUUUCUCAGGGAAGAAGCUCUGACGGUACCUGAGGAAUAAGCCUCGGCUAACUCCGUGCCAGCAGCCGCGGUAAUACGGAGGAGGCAAGCGUUAUCCGGAAUUAUUGGGCGUAAAGCGUCCGCAGGUGGCGAUUCAAGUCUGCUGUCAAAGCACGGGGCUUAACUCCGUUAAGGCAGUGGAAACUGAAUAGCUAGAGUGCCGUAGGGGUAGAGGGAAUUCCCGGUGUAGCGGUGAAAUGCGUA
rnacentral:rRNA from 1 species